UUCUUUACCAUGUGAGCUUAUGCUUUAUAAGGCGUUUGAAAUCAGCCUGAAUGUGAGCUCCCGCCUGCGGAGAACCCUGGGUGCUGGAGUGUGAGCUGGAGGGGUCCGAGGCUUGAAGUGACUGAGGAUGGAGGAAGAACUGACACUGUCCGUAUCUACCUGCAUCUUAGCUCCCCUUUAAACUAUUCACUAUAUUUGUGAAAAACUAUACUCGAACAGCUGCGGGAAACCUGGAAAAGGUACUGUCCGUGGAUCAGAAAUGGUGAGGAAUUCCAAAGGGAGAAAAUAGAUGGAAUCAGAUGGAUCAGGAAUCGAAGCCAAGAAGAAAAGCAAGUGUGGACCCCACUUGUAUGGUUCCUGAUUUGCCUAACAGAGGCUUCUACUGGGAACAUGGGGUCCAAGAAAGUGAAGGGUAGAGCCCAGGCCUCUAUGAUGGACACAGGAAGGGGUUAGAGGGCCAGGAAGGAGUGGAAAACACCACAGCACUCACACCACCACAUUGACCACCAGGGGAGAAGCCUUCCCAGGCCAGCCACUUCAGGAACCCUCUGCCGACAGGGACCUCGGGCCCACACCUAGCCAGGCACCCAGGCUGUGCUCCUGUGCUGAUCAAACCAGCCCUUCAUUUGUCAACAUGACCUGACAACUAAGGGUCAGCAUGUGUUUAAGACAAACCAAAAAAAAGAGAGAGAAAGAAAGAUAAGAACAUGGAAUUGACUCUAGAGAAAAAAGAGAGGUGGUUCAGGAAACUGGAGAGAACUGUAAAAUAAUUUCAGUGAAUAAUCUUGAGUGGUUUCAUAGGGUUUUACCCCCAUAAGGUGGAAACAUAGUGUAAAAAAAAAAGCAAACAGAAAAUGAAAAAGUAUUCUUCCAUUAACAAAAAAUCUCAAAAUGAGGUGGGAGGAGGUAGGGAGGUGACGUGUAUACCUAUGGCUGAUUCAUGUUGAUGUAUGGCAGAAACCACCACAACGCUGGAAAGCAACUAUCCUCCAAUUAAAAAUGAAUAAAUCUGUAAAAAUCUCAAAACGAAACACUAGAUGUACAGGCUGAAGCAUCAAGAGCAC